AUGACCUCGGAUCAGGUAGGGAUUGGCGUCCCCUAUACAGAGAGGCGGAGGCGUUGUAUUUCCUCGUAGUCAUAAUCUAGCGACAGAGGGCGACGGGACAUGCCAAAACCCACAUAUUGACAUGAGACCUCAAAUCAGUAG
rnacentral:rRNA from 1 species